CCUACGGGUGGCAGCAGUGGGGAAUAUUGCACAAUGGGGGAAACCCUGAUGCAGCGACGCCGCGUGAGUGAAGAAGUAUUUCGGUAUGUAAAGCUCUAUCAGCAGGAACGAGACAAGACGGUACCUGACUAAGAAGCCCCGGCUAACUACGUGCCAGCAGCCGCGGUAAUACGUAGGGGGCAAGCGUUAUCCGGAAUCACUGGGUGGAAAGGGAGCGUAGACGGCUGAGCAAGCCUGAAGUGAAAGGCGGGGGCCCAACCCCCGGACUGCUUUGGGAACUGUACGGCUGGAGUGCAGGAGAGGUAAGUGGAAUUCCUAGUGUAGCGGUGAAAUGCGUAGAUAUUAGGAGGAACACCAGUGGCGAAGGCGGCUUACUGGACUGUAACUGACGUUGAGGCUCGAAAGCGUGGGGAGCAAACAGGAUUAGAUACCCUUGUAGUC
rnacentral:rRNA from 1 species